UACGGGGGGAGCAAGCGUUGUUCGGAUUUACUGGGCGUAAAGGGCGCGUAGGCGGUCAGCACAAGUCAGUUGUGAAAUCUCCGGGCUUAACUCGGAAAGGUCAACUGAUACUGUGCGACUAGAGUGCGGAAGGGGCAACUGGAAUUCUCGGUGUAGCGGUGAAAUGCGUAGAUAUCGAGAGGAACACCUGCGGCGAAGGCGGGUUGCUGGGCCGACACUGACGCUGAGGCGCGAAAGCGUGGGGAGCAAACGGG
rnacentral:rRNA from 1 species